GGGUUGUGAGGUUAAGCGACCAAGCGUACACGGUGGAUGCCCUGGCAGUCAGAGGCGAUGAAGGACGUGCUAAUCUGCGAAAAGCGCCGGUAAGGUGAUAUGAACCGUUAUAACCGGCGAUGUCCGAAUGGGGAAACCCAGUGUGAUUCGUCACACUAUCAUUAACUGAAUCCAUAGGUUAAUGAGGCGAACCGGGGGAACUGAAACAUCUAAGUACCCCGAGGAAAAGAAAUCAACCGAGAUUCCCCCAGUAGCGGCGAGCGAACGGGGAGGAGCCCAGAGCCUGAAUCAGCAUGUGUGUUAGUGGAAGCGUCUGGAAAGGCGCGCGAUACAGGGUGAGAGCCCCGUACACAAAAGCGCACGUGCUGUGAGCUCGAUGAGUAGGGCGGGACACGUGGUAUCCUGUCUGAAUAUGGGGGGACCAUCCUCCAAGGCUAAAUACUCCUGACUGACCGAUAGUGAACCAGUACCGUGAGGGAAAGGCGAAAAGAACCCCGGCGAGGGGAGUGAAACAGAACCUGAAACCGUGUACGUACAAGCAGUGGGAGCCCCACCACUAAGCCAGUGGUGAACUCCACAUACGCAUCCUUUGCUGAGGAUACGGU
rnacentral:rRNA from 1 species